GAUGAACGCUGACAGAAUGCUUAACACAUGCAAGUCCACUUGAACUUCGGUUUGGGUGGCGGACGGGUGAGUAACGCGUAAAGAACUUGCCUCACAGAUAGGGACAACAUUUGGAAACGAAUGCUGAUACCUGAUAUUAUGAUUAUAUGGCAUCGUAUAAUUAUGAAAGCUAUAUGCGCUGUGAGAGAGCUUUGCGUCCCAUUAGCUAGUUGGAGAGGUAACGGCUCACCAAGGCGAUGAUGGGUAGCCGGCCUGAGAGGGUGAUCGGCCACAAGGGGACGGAGACACGGCCCUUACUCCUACGGGAGGCAGCAGUGGGGAAUAUUGGACAAUGGACCAAGAGUCUGAUCCAGCAAUUCUGUGUGCACGAUGAAGUUUUUCGGAAUGUAAAGUGCUUUCAGUUGGGAAGAAAAAAAUGACGGUACCAACAGAAGAAGUGACGGCUAAAUACGUG
rnacentral:rRNA from 1 species